UACAAUGGCGUAAACAAAGGGGGGCGAAGCCGCGAGGCCGAGCGAAUCCCAAAAAUAACGUCCCAGUUCGGAUUGCAGUCUGCAACCCGACUGCAUGAAGCUGGAAUCGCUAGUAAUCGCGAAUCAGAAUGUCGCGGUGAAUACGUUCCCGGGUCUUGUACACACCGCCCGUCACACCAUGGGAGUUGGUAACACCCGAAGUCAGUAGCCUAACCGCAAGGGGGGCGCUGCCGAAGGUGGGAUUGGUGAUUAGGGUGAAGUCGUAACAAGGUACC
rnacentral:rRNA from 1 species